CCCCCCGCCCCCCCCCCCCCGAGUCCAGCAAGUCGGAUCCCGUCUAGUUCACUGGGGGAGGGGGCAUUUAUCUCCUGGGCCAAGGAAUCUGUCCCAGUGUAAAUGAACGAAACCUUCCAAAUGGCAGCGAGGCGCCGCAGGUAAGGCACUUGGCAAAGUCAGGAGAGCUGGGUUCUGAGCGGCUGUGUGGGCUAAUGGUUAGCACGGGGGGGAAGCCAGGAUUCCUGGGCUCGCUCCCUGGCUUUUCCUCUGGGUCUUGGAGCAAGACUCCUGGGUGCACCUGUCACACCGGCAGGGUCCUCCCCCGCCCUGCCCCUCGCCCCGGGAGCCGGAGCUGCGGGAAGGCUCCGGAGAAGCGUGUCCUGACAGCAUCAUCCUUCGGGACUCCACCCAGCCAGAAUGCAGGGCCCGAGGCCGAACGUGGGCCGGGGAGAGAGGCCGGGGGUCGCACGCGCUCCUUAGCCCAGCUGGAUUCCCCCCGCCUCCCGUUCUACUCCUGAUCCGACAGCCCCAGUGAGGCACCAGAGGGGAGUUCACGGCGGCGGCAGAGGCUGGCAAAGUCUACCCCUGCCACGCCGGUGCCCGAUCCGCAGCCCCCUGCCCUCGCACUCGAGCCCACCAGCAGGACCACGGCUUGUGUGUCACAUCAGCUACACGGGCCUGGGCUGGCAGAGCUGGGCUGGCACCCUGGGGCAUCAAACCGGACACCCCAGGGGCUAAAACCAAGAGCUGCUACAGCUCCCAGCUAGGCCCUGCCAUGCUGCCAGGCAGAACAGCCCAGCGGGAGGGCUGGGACACGCAGCCCUGGAGCAACAGGCAGCUGCAGGAAACGCCCGUCACCAGGAGCUCGCCCCCUGCUGGACGAAGGCAGCCCAAGGACACUGCCCCCCCCCAAAACGGUUUUUGUUUAAAAAGCCGUAAUCCUCCCACUUAACGGGCUUUUUACCCCAGCUCCACGCGCUGCGUUUUCUAGACGAUUUUAAUCGCUUUGGCAAGCCGGGUCUUUUGGGCUGGGUUCCAAGAUGCGAAGCUUGUCAAACAUUCGCAGCUUCCCGCUCCCGCCUCACAGUGAAACUGGCUGGAGAACAGAAACCGUACAGGGACCGACUCUCCAGUGACAGAGGGCUGGGGCGAUCGGGCACAGCCGGACGAUCACCUUUCUGCCCCUACAAACAAGCAGCAAGGGGCUUAAAUUGCAGCAAGGGAGGUUCAGGUUGCACAUUAGGAAAAACGUCCUGUCCGGGUGGUGAAACACUGGAAUAAAUUCCCUAGGGGGGUUGUGGAAUCUCCAUCACUGGAGAGAUUGAAGAGCAGGAUGGACAGACGCAUUCUACGGCUGGGACAGGCAUUUUAAAAUCCCCCGCCGGCUCGGUGGCUCUAAGAACAACAGCUAAAGACCCUGCAGAAGCACGUUGUAACAAACGUGUCCCCUGCCCGGCCUUCAGCACUGCAGGAUUAGAACUCAGAUCGGCCGGGACCAUCGCCUGCUGUGCUACGGGCGCCUGGCCCGACAGCGAUGCCUUUUGUCCCACACGGGAGCGGGUCAGAUUUCAACCCAGAGCUGCAGCCGCGAGCAUGUUACAAUUAGAGGCCACCCCUUCCCAUCCAGGUUUCCAGAACACGCUUCUCUGUACCCCCUGGCUUCUGGGUGCUGAGCCGAGCACGCAGAAUCAGGACCCUAACAGCGCAAUCAAGUGACAUUACAGUCCAAUCACCCCCCCCCAUCAUUUUGUUUAAUCGAGGGGAGGGGGGAGAAUAAAAUCAGCAAAAAGAUGCACCCGGAUUUCUUCCCCAUACACCACAUUGAAAAAAAACACGUUAAAAACAAAGGAGCAAUUAAAAAAGGGCUAUUUCAAUGAACUAACACCCCACACUCCUCUUUGUUUGCUAGUACGUGACCACGAUGCAAAACCUCCCCCAACGUCUUUGCUUUUCAUUUCUCCAAGAGCCAAACUAACGGAUGAGGCGGAUCUAAGUGUCCGGGUGGAUCAAAGUUACCUCCCCCCUGCCCCCGGGAGCCAGGCAGUCGAGCUACCAAACUGCGAUGAAACAGAGUCGGGAGGGACAGGAGGCGGCAGGGGAGAGAUGAGGGACGUUUGGUCCAAAUUUGGAGCUCUGUCCCGAGUUCAAAUUGCGUCCCCAUGUGGUGCUUGGUUCCACUGUGAAGCCGUUCGCGGUGAUUUUGACAGGCUUUCCUGGCCCUGGUCUCAGCACCUCACAGGAGCAGGGUCCAAGGGCAGCGUCCUACUCCUCAGCUGCUGGCCGUGGUCUGGUGCAAUGCCACAGUCAUGCCAGGAUAACGCACAAGGGGGAGGAACCAAGCCCACCUGGAAGAGGGCUGUUCUUAAAAGCACCCUCGGCUCGUGAGAGCUGACAGACUCCAGUGGCGCCGUGGCCAAUUCAUCCCAGAGAAGGGGUUAGCCCCUGCAGAUUUGCCUCCCCGAGGUGAAUUCACACCGGCACGUGUCUUUUUUGUCAGCUUCAAGGCUGCAUGUGAUGCAUCGAUCCGGAGCCGGCCCGCUGACCGGGGGUGAAUGUUCCAUCUUCUGCGUGGAAGUUUGUAUUCAAAUGGAUUGCACUUGGCUGCUGCACCCUUCCAAAGGCUGUUAAAAAUACGUACCCUAGAAAUAUUCCUGGGGGAGGGCCUCUCAAACCCAACACAGCUGGUGGCUUCAUUUUUUAAGCGGAUUUAAUCUCUUACAAUUUUCGUAGGCAGACACUUUCCAAAACUGGCUCAUUUCUCCCUCCUCCCCCACCACUUUUCACCAAGAAGAUGAAACAUUCCAAGCGAAGGGGGAAAGCUUUUACUUUUAAAAAAACACCAACUGCCAAAACCCUCACCAAACCGGACAGUGUCUUUCCUGGGCGCACGCACGAGAGGGAAAUGGGUCUCUGCGUACAAGUCCUGGCGGCUCAGAGCUGGCGAACAGCUGUAAGAUCUACCCAGGGAUGGCACCGUGUUAAUUCGCCUCGUGCCGGUACGAGCAGGAAGCGCCGGGGAACGACAAGCCUGAUACAAACGGCAGCUGUCAGGGCGCAAUUGCUACGCUGUCCUGGAGGGGUUUGACAGCCGCACACAGAAAGCACCAAAUUAGGGACCAUUGGGCAGGAAACCAUAGAAAUGUGGGGCUGGAAGGGACUUCGAGAGGUCGCCAUGUAGACCGGACCACAAACGUAGACCAGCCCCAACAGCGGUUUGCCCAGCCUGGCCUUAACCCCCCGCGAUCACCGAGAGAAGGGGUCCUCUUCACAUAGCCAAUCCGCCCCCUUUUCCCCAGGCUCCCCAUGCCCAGCUUUUAACCUUUUCCGUGCCCUUCUCUGGCCUCUCUCCAAGGGAUCCACCGACAGCACGGGCACCCGGAGCAGCCAGAGGCCCGGCCAGUGCCGAGCAGAGCGCGCCAAUUACUUCCCCCAUCUGACACUGCCCCCCCUUGUGAGCACCCCCCAGAACGAGCCUUUCUAGAGGCUGCGGCAGCCAAGUUAUCGCCCCCAGAUCCUUCCCAGGUCCUGCCCAGCGCUUCCCCAUGUUGAUUUCCCCUUCUCGAGGGAAGUUCCCUGCUCUCGUCUUUACUGAGCUGCAUCUUCGUGGCUUCCCACCCGUUCUCUCGUUCAUCCAAGUCCUUUGGAACGCGACUCCCGCCCCUCCCAGCGCCUGGCACCCCCCCAGCGUGGGCAUCUGCACGGCUCACAAGCCCGCUCCAUCCUCCGAGUCAUUCAUGAAAAUUCCGAGCCCCACGCCUGACCCCCCGUGGGACACCGCACAAGACUUCCCCUCCCCUCCCAAUUCUAUAGCUCCAAGUCCUCUUUGAGUCUUUCAGCCAGUUCGCUGCCCAUCUUGUACUGACGUCCUCUGGCCCACGCGUCCCUCGGUGGCUGAUGAGAAAGUCACAGGGGGCUGUGUCAAAAGCUGCCUCAAAUCACAACUCCUGCACCCGCUCCAUCCGGGGGCCAGUCCCCUUUGCUCAAUGGGGCGUGAUUUGCUCUUGACCAAGCCAUGCUGGCUGUUCCUUAGCACCUUGUUCUCCUCUUGGGCCCGCCACACGGGCUGUCGUAUUAGCAGUACCGCCGUAUUUCCGGAGCUCAGAGUCAGGCUGACGGUGCCGUGAUCACCCGGGGUCUCUUUGCUUCCUUCUUUAAAGAUCAGCAUGUUUGCCCUUCUUUGCUCCUCCAGGUCCUAACACCCCUGCCUGGGGGAACGCCCACCAACGGCUCAUCUAUUUGCUGGUCGAUCAACACUGGAGUACGCAGCCACAGACCAACGCACAGAUGCAGCUCGUAUCGACAAAGUCCUCCUGCCGGCUGGCGAGGUCCCCUCCCUGAACGCCGCUAGCUACGUGCCUACACCAUCCUGUGCCAGGAGACGGAUUUCUUCCCACUCCCGGACAACACAGCUGGGCCGGCAACACUUCGACGAAGCCCCACCCACAGAAGUUGCCCCGGUUUAAGGGCAAUGGGUUUAGCUGGGUGCAGACGCUCUUACGUAGCUUUCAAAGCGGUUUAGCACGUGGCUGUAACUUCAGCAGCAUUAGCCACGUUUAAAGUCGUGUUGGAUCUGGUUUAACUCCAUCGGUACGAACACCACACCCUUCCCUACAGCAAUCCGAGCAUGGGUGUAGGAUAGGUGUGAGAGAGGGGGAGCACUGCUGGUGGUGCCUUCAUGGCAGCCAGGGGCUGGUUUUCCACGUCUCAGGCUUCCCAUUCAGAUGCUGCUUCCUGAGCCACAUGGUGCAGCUGUGACUGCACUCCAAGCGAGCAACUCGAGGGGGAAGCAAAUUGCAAUCAAUAGAGGACGAUCCUCCAACCCUUUCCCACAAGCCCCCUCGGCAGCCAACGCUGAGCCGUCUGACCCAGGCCAUCCUCCUUCUCGUGCCUCUUAGUUCCCACCCCUACACCUUCACCGCGCCACUUCCUGCACACAUAGUCCGGUCCUGAACCCUCCAAUCGGGCGCAAACUCCCCGGGACAGGCUGACAAGGGCUUUGAGUUUCUUUCUACCCAUCCCCUCUCCCCAUCCGCCGUCACACGCACAAACUGAUCUGACUGUACAGCAGCUAGCGAGGCUGCCCGCAUGGCAUUGUGCUUCCAUCCUUCACCAGGAGCGGCCGGUCGCCCGUCUGAAACGCUCCUGUUCUGGUCCCCACGCUCUGAAAUGCAGCUGAUUUUUUACAUUCAUUUUAAAUGUUUUUUAAAAAACUCUCCCCAGUCCCCAUAACAUAAUUACGGGGAAAGUUUUAUUGGCUCCAAGAAACACUCACUCCUAAGGUGGGGCAUUGCGUUAAAAAGAAAACAGAAGGCUGCAAAAAAAAAUUUUCUUCUAAGAGGGAUAAGAAAGAUUUCAUGUCAGUAUUUUAAUUCCCAGUUUGGGAGCAGGGGGAGGGGAAGUGCAGUUGUUUGGUUUUGUUAAUUUAAAAAGUGUUCCCAGAUGCAGUAACCAUGAUGGCAACAAAAACAACAAUUCUUAGCAGCUUGUCCAAGGGAAGUAUCACUAAACCCAUUUCACAGAUGGGGAAACCGAGGCACAAAAAGGGGAGGCAAGUUGCUUAAGGCCAUGUGGUAAGUCAGUAACAGAGCUAAAAACAAGCACACAGGAGUCCUGACUCUGCCCCCAGGAUAACCACUAGACCUCACUCCCCUCGCAGAGCUGGCAAUAGAACCCCAGAGUCCUUGACUGUAAAGCAGCACAGAAGUGAAACUGACUAGAAAGAGAAGGUGAAAUUAACCAGACUAAUUUCAAGAAAAUAUACAGCCUCAAUCAGUUGCAGGAAUGGAAACUAGGCCAAGCACUUAACGAGAAGCAUAUGAGUAGGCUAAUGAACACACACACCUGCUUGCAGAUGCCUCCUGUCUCUGUCUGCAGGAUCAGGGUCUAUGUUAUCAAACACACAAAUUGGGAUCGUGCCAUUAACCAGAAAGGAUUCAAACAUAUUUCUCUCCCCACUCCCCCAACAAUGCCCCUUGCUAUUUCAAAAACCAACGUGGAAUUACAUAGCACAUUCAGGGUCUCCUCUAUGCUGGAUUUUGGUUUUACAUCAGUGUAGCUACAAAAUGAUCAGCGUCAAUGCCAAAAAAAAUAGACCCGCCCCCCUCCAGAAAACAGAACCCGCUCAGCCUAAGCCAGGACGUUUUGUUUCUGAGCAUUUUAAACGGUAUUUGUAACAUAAAACUGAAGGUCAUUUCUGAACAAAAUGUUAUUAGGAAAAUCGAACUCGUUGGAAAAUGUCAAAACAAAACGUUUCAGGGGCAGGGUUUUGGCCAAAAGAGUUCAGUGAAACUGCCCCGUUUUGCAUUGGCAUAUCCGCCUUUUUCACCUGACAGCAACCUCAGCUAACAUUUUGCACCCAGCUCUGUGGCUGAUCUCCGAUUUCACGCUAGUGUAACACGACACCCCUUGUCCAGGGAAUGAAUCUCAGACUAGUGGCAAUAAAAGCCAAAGCCGCUCCGGUUGGAGCUAAAAGAUGUGGCCCAUCAGCUCAUGAGGAGAUUCAAACUUUCACAUGCGGCCUGGCCCCUCGAGGGAGGCAAAGCAACCGGGAAUGAGGCCGACUCUGCCCAGGGUUCGAAUCCCCAUAGUGUCACUGGCUGCUCCGCUAGGAUUUUACACUCUGACGUUGGAAGGGGGAAGAAGAGAAAGAAAAAAUCCAGUGUAGACGCAAUGUGGAAAGACAUCACAGCCGGAAGCGAUGCUGUCACUUGCUUUAAAAAAAAAAAAAAAAAAA